UACGUAGGGGGCAAGCGUUGUCCGGAUUUAUUGGGCGUAAAGAGCGUGUAGGCGGCUAUGCAGGUCAGUUGUGAAAACUCGAGGCUCAACCUCGAGACGCCGAUGGAAACCAUGUGGCUAGAGUCCGGAAGAGGAGAGUGGAAUUCCUGGUGUAGCGGUGAAAUGCGCAGAUAUCAGGAAGAACACCCGUGGCUAAGGCGGCUCUCUAGUACGGUACUGACGCUGAGACGCGAAAGCGUGGGGAGCAAACAGG
rnacentral:rRNA from 1 species